UGGGGAAUUUUGGACAAUGGGCGAAAGCCUGAUCCAGCAAUGCCGCGUGUGUGAAGAAGGCCUUCGGGUUGUAAAGCACUUUUGUCCGGAAAGAAAUCCUUGGCUCUAAUACAGUCGGGGGAUGACGGUACCGGAAGAAUAAGCACCGGCUAACUACGUGCCAGCAGCCGCGGUAAUACGUAGGGUGCAAGCGUUAAUCGGAAUUACUGGGCGUAAAGCGUGCGCAGGCGGUUUGCUAAGACCGAUGUGAAAUCCCCGGGCUCAACCUGGGAACUGCAUUGGUGACUGGCAGGCUAGAGUAUGGCAGAGGGGGGUAGAAUUCCACGUGUAGCAGUGAAAUGCGUAGGGAUGUGGAGGAAUACCGAUGGCGAAGGCAGCCCCCUGGGCCAAUACUGACGCUCAUGCACGAAAGCGUGGGGAGCAAAACAGGAUUAGAUACCCUGGUAGUCCACGCCCUAAACGAUGUCAACUAGUUGUUGGGGAUUCAUUUCCUUAGUAACGUAGCUAACGCGUGAAGUUGACCGCCUGGGGAGUACGGUCGCAAGAUUAAAACUCAAAGGAAUUGACGGGGUCAUAGCUGUUUCCU
rnacentral:rRNA from 1 species